AAGGAUCAUUAUCUAUUUGUUGGAUGUGGUCGCGGCCCCCGUAUUCCGGGUGGUAGGGGUAACACCCUCACGCGCCACAUGCACUAAUCCUCUUUUUACGAGCACCUUCUGUUCUCCUUCGGCGGGGCAACCUGCCGUUGGAACCAACAAAACCUUUUGAAUUCCGUAUUACCUGUUCUGAUACAAACAAUCGUAACAACUUUCAACAAUGGAUCUCUUGGCUCUGGCAUCGAUGAAGAACGCAGCGAAAUGCGAUAGCUAGUGUGAAUUGCAGAUUUCAGUGAAUCAUCGAGUCUUUGAACGCACAUUGCGCCUCUUGGUAUUCCUCGAGGCAUGCCUAUUCGAGCGUCGUUUCGUCCCUCAAGCGCGAGCUUGGUGUUGGGGACCGCCCCUGAGAUAUGGCGGCGGCCCUUGAAUCCAUCGGCGGUGCCGGUGCGGCCCUGAGCGCAGCAGCGAUGCGGCUCUGAAGGCGGCGCCUGCCCAGCCGGACGACCCCACGAAACUUUCUGAACGUCGACCUCGAAUUAGGUAGGGAUACCCGCUGAACUUAAG
rnacentral:rRNA from 1 species